rnacentral:rRNA from 1 species
GACGAACGCUGGCGGCGUGCUUAACACAUGCAAGUCGAACGGAAAGGCCCUGCUUUUGUGGGGUGCUCGAGUGGCGAACGGGUGAGUAACACGUGAGUAACCUGCCCUUGACUUUGGGAUAACUUCAGGAAACUGGGGCUAAUACCGGAUAGGAGCUCCUGCUGCAUGGUGGGGGUUGGAAAGUUUCGGCGGUUGGGGAUGGACUCGCGGCUUAUCAGCUUGUUGGUGGGGUAGUGGCUUACCAAGGCUUUGACGGGUAGCCGGCCUGAGAGGGUGGCCGGCCACAUUGGGACUGAGAUACGGACCAGACUCCUACGGGAGGCAGCAGUGGGGAGUAUUGCACAAUGGGCGGAAGCCUGAUGCAGCAACGCCGCGUGCGGGAUGACGGCCUUCGGGUUGUAAACCGCUUUCGCCUGUGACGAAGCGUGAGUGACGGUAAUGGGUAAAGAAGCACCGGCUAACUACGUG